UACGUAGGGACCAAGCGUUGUUCGGAUUUACUGGGCGUAAAGGGCGCGUAGGCGGCGUGGUAAGUCACUUGUGAAAUCUCUGAGCUUAACUCAGAACGGCCAAGUGAUACUGCAGUGCUCGAGUGUGGAAGGGGCAAUCGGAAUUCUUGGUGUAGCGGUGAAAUGCGUAGAUAUCAAGAGGAACACCUGAGGUGAAGACGGGGUUGCUGGGCCAACACUGACGCUGAGGCGCGAAAGCCAGGGGAGCAAACGGG
rnacentral:rRNA from 1 species